GCCAGAGUGAUGUAGUGGUUAGAGCACUGGACUAUGACUCUGGAAACCAGGGUUUGAAUCCUUGCUUCGUUA